UUUCUAAUGUGCAUGUCUACCUCAAAGAAUGCCCUAUAUGUCUCUUCAGUCAAGGAUGGCACAGCCCAGCAGGCAUUCCUCUACAUAUAUUAUCAGAACAAGAACCCUAUUCUCCAAGGGUCUUCAUAUUGCACAAUGUUGGAAGGAAUGACAGAAGAACCACAUGGGUAUUGUGUAGCUGUCCUAAUUUAAUCAGACAGGCUUCUUUGGAAGGUCAGCAAAAAAAGCAAAAAUGACAUAUUUAAAAUGUAUCCCAGGCAGAAAAUUUCCAAGUCACCAAGAAUCACUCAGCAUAUGUCAAAAUUUUUGAUUUUCCUCAUCAGCUAUUCAACAUAUGAAGAAGCAUUUAGACUGAUUCACAAAGACAGAGUCCCAGGUGGUUAUUUCUCACAUCCAGUUGUCAAAAUACUCCUUCUGCAUUUCAGUCACCAUUGACAAAUACUAAAAGCUAGAAUUCCUGUAAAUAAAACUCUUAGAAGCCAGA